UACGUAGGUGGCAAGCGUUAUCCGGAUUUAUUGGGCGUAAAGAGAACGCAGGCGGUCUUUUAAGUCUGAUGUGAAAGCCUUCGGCUUAACCGGAGUAGUGCAUUGGAAACUGGUAGACUUGAGUGCAGGAGAGGAGAGUGGAAUUCCAUGUGUAGCGGUGGAAUGCGUAGAUAUAUGGAGGAACACCGGUGGCGAAAGCGGCUCUCUGGUCUGUAACUGACGCUGAGGCUCGAAAGCGUGGGUAGCGAACAGG
rnacentral:rRNA from 1 species